GGAUUUCCGGCAGUGCCUGUGUGAGUACGUCACCAGUGUGGUGCACUCAGCAGGGACACACGUCCGGACGGACCGAGCCGGGCAGGUGCUGACAGGGGCUCAGCUGGCUGCCAGGAUCAAGGGCGUCUCCUGAUAUCGGAAGACCCAACGCUACGACUUCUCCUCACCCAUGAAGAUGGCUGAGGCGUUUGCAGUGAUGAGACAGGAGUUAAACAGGAGAG